CCUACGGGAGGCAGCAGUGAGGAAUAUUGGUCAAUGGACGAGAGUCUGAACCAGCCAAGUAGCGUGAAGGAUGACUGCCCUAUGGGUUGUAAACUUCUUUUAUAUGGGAAUAAAAUGUUCCACGUGUGGGAUUUUGUAUGUACCCUAUGAAUAAGGAUCGGCUAACUCCGUGCCAGCAGCCGCGGUAAUACGGAGGAUCCGAGCGUUAUCCGGAUUUAUUGGGUUUAAAGGGAGCGUAGGUGGAUUGUUAAGUCAGUUGUGAAAGUUUGCGGCUCAACCGUAAAAUUGCAGUGGAAACUGGCAGUCUUGAGUACAGUAGAGGUGGGCGGAAUUCGUGGUGUAGCGGUGAAAUGCUUAGAUAUCACGAAGAACUCCGAUUGCGAAGGCAGUUCACUGGACUGCAACUGACACUGAGGCUCGAAAGUGUGGGUAUCAAACAGGAUUAGAUACCCCUGUAGUC
rnacentral:rRNA from 1 species